rnacentral:piRNA from 1 species
UACGCGUUCUCACGACCGGCCAGGAAA